UAAAGGAAAGUAGAAACCUCUUUGUUAGUGCAUAAAUCCAUGGCAGCGUACGGGUUUCCAGACCCUGUGGUGAUUUCAAGCCUAACAAAUGGGGGUUACGUCUGAGGGGGAGGAUUGUGGUACCCAACGACUCUUUAUUACAGGCAGGAGCAUCCCGGCUAUUCAACAAUAACAGAAGAUGGAAUGAAGCUAUCAAACUGUACUCAGUAAAAUGAGUAUAAAAUGUACAUCAAUGGCUGUGAAGGGAUUCAAUUUGCAACAAGAAUGAAAAAUGAUUAGGGAAAAAACAAUAAAAAAUUAUUCAAUUGUUAUCAACAUGCAGGAGAGACGCUGUGAGAAGAGGAAUACAUUAGAAAACAUUUAACAGGGCUUUAAAAAAAAAAAAAAACAUUAUAAAAAAAUAAAUAAGUAAUCCAAUUACAUUCCAA